GCUUUCUUUUCUGAAAUCAUAAGAGGUAUAUAUUGGCAAUGCAUUGAAAUUCAAUUACAUUUAAAAGAAAUGGGAAAACACAUCGCUCAUUAAAAUAGCACUGCAAAAAUACAUCAACAGCAGUCCAUUUCCAAUAGCCAACAUAAAUUGCCCCAUUUAAAGUUUGAGAGGAAAUAAGAGUUCUUGCAUAAAUUAGUUCACCAGUUCACUAUUUAUGUCAUACAAGGUCAAAUUGGAGUCCAAAAAUUUUUUUCCUUUCCGAUUUACCACAAAUUUUAAAAUGUUCAAGCAGUACAAGAAAGCAAUAACUUCUAACCUUUUCAUGAUGUUUCUUAGAGUG
rnacentral:misc_RNA from 1 species